UUGUUAAUCAGUGUACAGUCCUCAACCUC
rnacentral:piRNA from 1 species